UCUGUUUGUAGUUAAAAAAAGUCUAACCUGCCCACUGAUAUAAAUUUAUUUAAUGGCCGCAGUAUUAUGACUGUGCAAAGGUAGCAAAAUCAUUAGGUUUUUAAAUGAGAUCUUGUAUGAAUGGUUGAACAAAAGAAAAACUGUCUUUAUAUUAAAUUUUAAAUUUUACUUUUAAGUGAAAAGGCUUAAAUGUUCUAGAGGGACGAUAAGACCCUAUAAAACUUUAUAUUGUAAUUAUAUUUAAUUAAAUUUUAUACACAGUAAAAAUUUAAUAUGGUUAUUUAUUAUAUUGGGGCGAUAAAAGUAUAAAUAGUAGUAACUGUUUAAUAUACAGACAUUUAUUUAUGGAAAUAGUAAUAGAUCCUAGUUGAAGAAUUAAAGUUUAAGUUACUUUAGGGAUAACAGUAUAAUUUUUUUUGAGAGUUCAUAUCGAAAAAAGAGAUUUUAACCUCGAUGUUGAAUUAAAUUAUCUAUAUAAUGUAGUUGUUAUAUAAGAAGGUCUGUUCGACCUUUAAAUU
rnacentral:rRNA from 1 species